rnacentral:rRNA from 1 species
GUCUUUUUGAAAUAUAAUUUAAAGUCUAAUCUGCCCACUGAUAAAUAUUAAAGGGCUGCAGUAUUUUGACUGUACAAAGGUAGCAUAAUCAUUAGUUUUUUAAUUGAAAACUUGUAUGAAAGAUUUGAUGAAAUAUUAACUGUCUCUUAUUUUUUUUUUGAAUUUUAUUUUUUAGUAAAAAAGCUAAAAUAAUUUUAAAAGACGAGAAGACCCUAUAGAGUUUUAUAUUUUAUUUUAUUUUAAAUUUAUAUAAAAAUUGAUAUUAAAAUAAAAUUAAAUAUUGUAUUGGGGUGAUAGAAAAAUUUAAAUAACUUUUUUUAAAUAAUAAACAUAAAUGAAUGAUUAAAUGAUCCAUAAAUAAUGAUUAUAAGAAAAAAUUACCUUAGGGAUAACAGCGUAAUGUUUUUUUUUAGGUCAAAUAAAAAAAAAAGUUUGCGACCUCGAUGUUGGAUUAAGAUAAAAUUUAAAUGCAAAAGUUUAAAAUUUUGAUCUGUUCGAUCAUAAAAUCUACA